rnacentral:rRNA from 1 species
UAGGGAAUUUUCGUCAAUGGGCGCAAGCCUGAACGAGCAAUGCCGCGUGAACGAGGAAGGUCUUCGGAUCGUAAAGUUCUGUUGAAAGGGGAAAAAGAGCGGAGAGAGGAAAUGCUUUUCUGAUUGAUAUUACCCUUCGAGGAAGUCACGGCUAACUACGUGCC